rnacentral:rRNA from 1 species
UACGGAGGGAGCUAGCGUUGUUCGGAAUCAUUGGGCGUAAAGCGCGUGUAGGCGGCUCGAUAAGUCUGCUGUGAAAGUCCAAGGCUCAACCUUGGGAUGCCGGUGGAUACUGUCGAGCUCGAGUCCGGAAGAGGCGAGUGGAAUUCCUGGUGUAGCGGUGAAAUGCGCAGAUAUCAGGAGGAACACCAAUGGCGAAGGCAGCUCGCUGGGACGUGACUGACGCUGAGACGCGAAAGCGUGGGGAGCAAACAGG